rnacentral:tRNA from 1 species
UGCAGUUGUAGCUCAGCUGGUUAGAGCGCCGGAUUGUGGAUCCGGAGGUCGGUGGUUCGAUCCCACCCAACUGUACCAU